rnacentral:rRNA from 1 species
UGCAUAUCAAUAAGCGGAGGAAAAGAAACCAACAGGGAUUGCCUUAGUAGCGGCGAGUGAAGCGGCAAAAGCUCAAAUUUGAAAUCUGGCACUUUCAGUGUCCGAGUUGUAAUUUGAAGAAGGUAUCUUUGGGUCUGGCUCUUGUCUAUGUUUCUUGGAACAGAACGUCACAGAGGGUGAGAAUCCCGUGCGAUGAGAUGUCCCAGACCUAUGUAAAGUUCCUUCGAAGAGUCGAGUUGUUUGGGAAUGCAGCUCUAAGUGGGUGGUAAAUUCCAUCUAAAGCUAAAUAUUGGCGAGAGACCGAUAGCGAACAAGUACAGUGAUGGAAAGAUGAAAAGAACUUUGAAAAGAGAGUGAAAAAGUACGUGAAAUUGUUGAAAGGGAAGGGCUUGAGAUCAGACUUGGUAUUUUGUAUGUUACUCUCUCGGGGGUGGCCUCUACAGUUUACCGGGCCAGCAUCAGUUUGAGCGGUAGGAUAAGUGCAAAGAAAUGUGGCACUGCUUCGGUAGUGUGUUAUAGUCUUUGUCGAUACUGCCAGCUUAGACUGAGGACUGCGGCUUCGGCCUAGGAUGUUGGCAUAAUGAUCUUAAGUCGCCCGUCUUGAAACACGGACC